GACGAACGCUGGCGGCGUGCUUAACACAUGCAAGUCGAGCGGUAAGGCCCUUUCGGGGGUACACGAGCGGCGAACGGGUGAGUAACACGUGGGUGACCUGCCCUCAGCUCUGGGAUAAGCCUGGGAAACUGGGUCUAAUACUGGAUAUGACUCCACGGUGCAUGUCGUGGGGUGGAAAGCCUUGUGCGGCUGAGGAUGGGCCCGCGGCCUAUCAGCUUGUUGGUGGGGNGAUGGCCUACCAAGGCGACGACGGGUAGCCGGCCUGAGAGGCGACGGCCACACUGGGACUGAGACACGGCCCAGACUCCUACGGGAGGCAGCAGUGGGGAAUCUUGCGCAAUGGCGAAAGCCUGACGCAAGCGACGCCGCGUGAGGGAUGACGGCC
rnacentral:rRNA from 1 species